rnacentral:rRNA from 1 species
UACGGGGGGUGCGAGCGUUAUCCGGAAUUACUGGGUUUAAAGGGUGCGUAGGCGGCCCGGUAAGUCUGGGGUGAAAGGCCAGGGCUCAACCUUGGGACUGCCUUGGAUACUGCUGGGCUUGAGUGGGGAUGAGGUUGGCGGAAUGCGGCAUGUAGCGGUGAAAUGCAUAGAGAUGCCGUGGAACACCGAUUGCGAAGGCAGCUGACUGGACCUCUUACUGACGCUGAGGCACGAAAGCGUGGGGAGCGAACGGG